ensembl:snRNA U6 U6 spliceosomal RNA
AUGUACUUUGCAGCAUGUAUAUACCAAAACUGGAAUGAUACAAAGAAAAUUAGCAUAACCCCUCUGCAAGGAUGCCAUGCAAAUCUGUGAAGAAUUCCAUGUUGUU